CAGCAGCCACGGGAAUACGUAGGUGGCAAGCGUUGUCCGGAAUUAUUGGGCGUAAAGCGCGCGCAGGCGGAUCAGUUAGUCUGUCUUAAAAGUUCGGGGCUCAACCCCGUGAUGGGAAAGAAACUACAUGUCUUGAGUACAGGAGAGGAAAGCGGAAUUCCCAGUGUAGCGGUGAAAUGCGUAGAUAUUGGGAGGAACACCAGUGGCGAAGGCGGCCUUCUGGACUGCAACUGACGCUGAGGCUCGAAAGCCAGGGGAGCGAACGGGAUUAGAUACCCCUGUAGUCCCUGUCUCUUAUACA
rnacentral:rRNA from 1 species